rnacentral:rRNA from 1 species
AACAAACGCUGGCGGCGUGCCUAACACAUGCAAGUCGAACGAGAAAUCCCGAGCUUGCUUGGGAGAGUAAAGUGGCGCACGGGUGAGUAACGCGUGGGUAACCUACCUUUGAAUCUGGAAUAACCAGCCGAAAGGCUGACUAAUACCGGAUAUGGUUUUUAGGACUUAGGUUCUCUAAAUUAAAGGUGACCUCUUCAUGAAAGUUGCCGUUCAUAGAUGGGCCCGCGUACCAUUAGCUAGUUGGUGGGGUAAUGGCCUACCAAGGCGACGAUGGUUAGCUGGUCUGAGAGGAUGAUCAGCCACACUGGAACUGGAACACGGUCCAGACUCCUACGGGAGGCAGCAGUGAGGAAUUUUGCGCAAUGGGGGAAACCCUGACGCAGCAACGCCGCGUGAGCGAAGAAGGCCCUCGGGUCGUAAAGCUCUGUCAAGUGGGAAAAAAAUCUUUUGAUCAAUAGUCAAAAGAC